rnacentral:tRNA from 1 species
UGGGGUAUAGCUCAAUGGUAGAGUGGAUGCUUACCAUGCAUGAGGGCAUGGGUUCGAUCCCCAGUACUUCCA